rnacentral:rRNA from 1 species
UACAGAGGGUGCGAGCGUUAAUCGGAAUUACUGGGCGUAAAGGGCGCGUAGGCGGCAACAUAAGUUAGAUGUGAAAUCCCUGGGCUUAACCUAGGAACUGCAUCUAAGACUGUGUAGCUAGAGUACAGUAGAGGGUAGUGGAAUUUCCGGUGUAGCGGUGAAAUGCGUAGAUAUCGGAAGGAACACCAGUGGCGAAGGCGGCUACCUGGACUGAUACUGACGCUGAGGCGCGAGAGCGUGGGGAGCAAACAGG